UGGGGAAUAUUGCACAAUGGGCGCAAGCCUGAUGCAGCCAUGCCGCGUGUGUGAAGAAGGCCUUCGGGUUGUAAAGCACUUUCAGCGAGGAGGAAGGUGGUGGACUUAAUACGUUCAUCAAUUGACGUUACUCGCAGAAGAAGCACCGGCUAACUCCGUGCCAGCAGCCGCGGUAAUACGGAGGGUGCAAGCGUUAAUCGGAAUUACUGGGCGUAAAGCGCACGCAGGCGGUUUGUUAAGUCAGAUGUGAAAUCCCCGGGCUCAACCUGGGAACUGCAUUUGAAACUGGCAAGCUAGAGUCUCGUAGAGGGGGGUAGAAUUCCAGGUGUAGCGGUGAAAUGCGUAGAGAUCUGGAGGAAUACCGGUGGCGAAGGCGGCCCCCCUGGACGAAGACUGACGCUCAGGUGCGAAAGCGUGGGGCAGCAAACAGGAUUAGAUACCCUGGUAGUCCACGCUGUAAACGAUGUCGAUUUGGAGGUUGUGCCCUUGAGGCGUGGCUUCCGGAGCUAACGCGUUAAAUCGACCGCCUGGGGAGUACGGCCGCAAGGUUAAAACUCAAAUGAAUUGAC
rnacentral:rRNA from 1 species